AUGUAAACUAGGCAAACUUUGGGAAACUGAAGGACGCAAAGCUAAAGGGCCUUUAAACUGGCAGCCUAGCCGCAAAU
rnacentral:ncRNA from 1 species